UACAGAGGGGGCAAACGUUGUUCGGAAUUACUGGGCGUAAAGCGUGCGCAGGCGGUUUUGUAAGCCAGAUGUGAAAUCCCCGGGCUUAACCUGGGAAUGGCAUUUGGGACUGCAAGGCUUGAGUGCGGCAGAGGAGACUGGAAUUCCUGGUGUAGCAGUGGAAAUGCGUAGAUAUCAGGAGGAAUACCGAUGGACGAAGGCAGGUCGUCUGG
rnacentral:rRNA from 1 species